GACGAGCGCUGGCGGCGUGCUUAACACAUGCAAGUCGAACGGAAAGGCCCUGCUUUUGUGGGGUGCUCGAGUGGCGAACGGGUGAGUAACACGUGAGUAACCUGCCCUUGACUUUGGGAUAACUUCAGGAAACUGGGGCUAAUACCGGAUAGGAGCUCCUGCUGCAUGGUGGGGGUUGGAAAGUUUCGGCGGUUGGGGAUGGACUCGCGGCUUAUCAGCUUGUUGGUGGGGUAGUGGCUUACCAAGGCUUUGACGGGUAGCCGGCCUGAGAGGGUGACCGGCCACAUUGGGACUGAGAUACGGCCCAGACUCCUACGGGAGGCAGCAGUGGGGAAUACUGCACAAUGGGCGGAAGCCUGAUGCAGCAACGCCGCGUGCGGGAUGACGGCCUUCGGGUUGUAAACCGCUUUCGCCUGUGACGAAGCGUGAGUGACGGUAAUGGGUAAAGAAGCACCGGCUAACUACGUG
rnacentral:rRNA from 1 species